GCCAGACUCCUACGGGAGGCAGCAGUGAGGAAUAUUGGUCAAUGGCCGCAGGGCUGAACCAGCCAAGUCGCGUGAGGGAUGACGGUCCUAUGGAUUGUAAACCUCUUUUGUCGGGGAACAAAGGCGCCCACGGGUGGGCGGAUGAGUGUACCCGAAGAAAAAGCAUCGGCUAACUCCGUGCCAGCAGCCGCGGUAAUACGGAGGAUGCGAGCGUUAUCCGGAUUUAUUGGGUUUAAAGGGUGCGUAGGCGGAAUGCCAAGUCAGCGGUAAAAUCGCGGGGCUCAACCUCGCUCCGCCGUUGAAACUGGCGUUCUUGAGUGGGCGAGAAGUAUGCGGAAUGCGUGGUGUAGCGGUGAAAUGCAUAGAUAUCACGCAGAACUCCGAUUGCGAAGGCAGCAUACCGGCGCCCAACUGACGCUGAAGCACGAAAGCGUGGGUAUCGAACAGGAUUAGAUACCCCUGUA
rnacentral:rRNA from 1 species